rnacentral:rRNA from 1 species
UACGGAGGGAGCUAGCGUUGUUCGGAAUUACUGGGCGUAAAGCGUGCGCAGGCGGUUUUGUAAGCCAGAUGUGAAAGCCCCGGGCUUAACCUGGGAAUGGCAUUUGGGACUGCAAGGCUUGAGUGCGGCAGAGGAGACUGGAAUUCCUGGUGUAGCAGUGAAAUGCGUAGAUAUCAGGAGGAAUACCGAUGGCGAAGGCAGGUCUCUGGGCUGACACUGACGCUCAUGCACGAAAGCGUGGGGAGCAAACAGG